CAUUGUACUAUAAAAUAAUUUCAUCUCUCAGAAGCUGUUUGUCACUGCAGAAGAGUAUUUGAUGAAUCAAGCUGCUAAAGGAGUGUUUUCUGCUUCCUCCUGAUCACUUCUGAAGCAGAACAGCAGCGGAGAGCAAUGAGGAGACGAGGAGAGAGAUCACAUGACAUCAGCCAAUCAAAACAGAGCGCAUUUAUCAUAAACCCAGCGUUUCUGACACUAAUAUUCAUCUUUUCAACAUCAGUCACUGUUUGAGCAAAAACACCUCGACAUUCAGAAAUCAAGAUACAUUUACUGAAGAAGAAGAAUCACUUCAGAUAGAAAGACCUGUUUUCUGAAGAAAGAAGUAAACAUUCUGCUAAUGGCAAGAAAAAUAAUCGUUUUCCCUUUGAAUUAUUAAUAUUAUUUUUCUCUCCUCAUUGGCAGCUUUUUUUAUCUUAUUUUGAGCAAAACCAAAGUUUUUUCCGAAAACAAGAUUUAAAAUCUGAAAUAAUUUGGCUUCUCAAGUAAAUUGAUCUUGAUUCAGGAAUGUUUAGAUAUUCUUUCUAGAAAUCAAGACAAAAAUCCUAAGAAAAUCAUUGAUUGCAGUGAAGUAAACUGAGCACUUCUGAAGUUCUGUGUUUGUUAUUCAGAACAAAUUCAAGCAGCAGUAAAUCUCAAGACUGUGUGUGUGUGCUUAUGUUUUACUGUACGCUACACAGCACUGCAUCAGAUUUAGACCGUAUUUCACUGUAUUCAUGACAUAAAAUCAAGAAAAGCUGGUUUACUUCACAUCGGAGCAUUAAAAGUGUCACCUGUUCAGUUCAUGGAUUUAUAUUCUGAAUGAAUCACGGUGAAACAUCAAUCAAGGUGUUUCAGAACGGCAGAAUUCACACAAAUCUCUGCAUUAAUUCAAGAAAUCAACAGAUAAAUGAGUAAAUGAGAAGGAGCAGGUUUGUUGUGGAUCUGAAGCCGUGUCUCUGACAUUGUUGAGCAGCGCUCGAGCAGUAAACUACUGAUGAACUUUUCCUGAAACACACAGAAGAAUCUUCUCCAGCAGCGUGUUCACGAGAGAGAAGCUCUUCAUUCCUCUCCUUCACAAUCAUAAAGAUCAUCAGUGGUGUCCUGCACAUCAUUGUUUUGAGCUGACUGUGAGAUCUGAUGCUCUAGAGCUGGAUUUGUGUUUAUUAUAGUCUUCAGAUCCUGAUCUGAUAUAUAGACCGGGUUUUAUUUCUGUGUUUGGACACUAAUGUUGUGAAUCAGAGCUUGUUCAGUAGUCAUUCACAGAAAUACUAUUUUAUGGCAUGAUGCAGAUCUCUUUAAAUGUAUAAUAAUGUAAAAUAGUGUCUAGUGUUGUCCAGUAAAGAGUCAGACACUUCAAGCACAAGUGAAAUGUCUGAAGGUCAGCUUUACUGAUCAAUGUGUGGAGCGUCUCUUUGCUGCAGCUGCUGCUGAUUUAAUGAACCAGUUUCUCAUGUGACGGGGUUGUUUUUACCCGCGCCGCUAACACACGCUUUACUCUAAUAUCUACUGGAUUAAAAACACCUGUCCUGACUCCUUUAAGAUUCUGUUAUUCAGGAGAAAAUCUCUCAUUCAGGAACAUUUAUUUUAAAGGAGUCAGAUUCAUUAUUAAAUAUAAUAGUUUAGUUGAUGAUGAAACACUCACACAGCUUUUCUGCAGUUGAUCACAGCUGGUAUCAGUCUUCUUCUCCCCUCAUCUGAUGUGUUGUAUUUCAUGGUGUUCAGUUCAUCCAGAGGCUCCUCUGACAUCUGAAUCAUGUAGGAGAUUGUUGAGCACUGAGCAGGAGAGAGUUUCUCUGAGUGUUUGUCUGAUUUCACAA